GGCCUCGUGGCCCAAUGGCAAGGCGUCUGACUACGAUGCGAUACCAACUUAGGUAUUCACACCGACUGUAAUCAGGAGAUUCUGGGUUCGACCCCCAGCGAGGUCA